rnacentral:rRNA from 1 species
GACGUAGGGCGCGAGCGUUGUCCGGAUUUACUGGGCGUAAAGAGCGCGCAGGCGGUCGUUCAAGUCGCGUGUGAAAGCCCCCGGCUCAACUGGGGAGGGUCACGCGAUACUGAUCGACUGGAAGGCAGGAGAGGGUAGUGGAAUUCCCGGUGUAGUGGUGAAAUGCGUAGAUAUCGGGAGGAACACCAGUGGCGAAGGCGACUACCUGGCCUGUUCUUGACGCUGAGGCGCGAAAGCUAGGGGAGCAAACGGGG